rnacentral:rRNA from 1 species
GACAGAGGAUGCAAGCGUUAUCCGGAAUGAUUGGGCGUAAAGCGUCUGUAGGUGGCUUUUCAAGUCCGCCGUCAAAUCCCAGGGCUCAACCCUGGACAGGCGGUGGAAACUACCAAGCUGGAGUACGGUAGGGGCAGAGGGAAUUUCCGGUGGAGCGGUGAAAUGCGCAGAUAUCGGGAGGAACACCGGUGGCGAAGGCGGAUCUCUGGGCCUGUCCUGACGCUCAGGCGCGAAAGCUAGGGGAGCGAACAGG